ACAGUGUAGGAUCCGGCCAACGGGACCAGGACUGGCUUAUUGAUUACAUCCCACAAUAGAAAGGAUGCUCAGGCAUAUGGCCUCAGAAACAUGGGCUAUUGAGAAAGAGAAAAAGGCAACUCUGGAAAGAGAGAGCCUGGCCUUACAGAAGACAUCUGAGCUAUUAAUCAACAGAAAUCUCAUGUAUAGUUGAAGAAUCAGAAAUCUGAGCGUAGGAAAAAGUGGGUUAGCCCUGGAGAAAGGAAAAGGAGGAUCAUGGUUCUCUGCAAAGAGCUGGAAGCUAAAAAGCAGGCUGUGUUUACUUACCAACCAGGACUCAGUGGGAUCUUUGCCAGCUUCCAAUAUAGCCUUAAAAGUAUAUGAAAUCCAAGAAAUAUUUCUGCAAAGCAAGAGAUCUUCACUGCUUUAUUUUCCACCACCUGAAUCCUUGCAGUGAGUGUAGUGUGUAUCUAAUCAAUCUGUUAAAAAAUACUUUAAAAGUUCUA
rnacentral:antisense_RNA from 1 species